AUUGAACGCUGGCGGCAGGCUUAACACAUGCAAGUCGAGCGGAGAUGAGGUGCUUGCACCUUAUCUUAGCGGCGGACGGGUGAGUAAUGCUUAGGAAUCUGCCUAUUAGUGGGGGACAACAUUCCGAAAGGAAUGCUAAUACCGCAUACGUCCUACGGGAGAAAGCAGGGGAUCUUCGGACCUUGCGCUAAUAGAUGAGCUUAAGUCGGAUUAGCUAGUUCGUGGGGUAAAGGCCUACCAAGGCUACGAUCUGUAGCGGGUCUGAGAGGAUGAUCCGCCACACUGGGACUGAGACACGGCCCAGACUACUACGGGAGGCAGCAGUGGGGAAUAUUGGACAAUGGGGGAAACCCUGAUCCAGCCAUGCCGCGUGUGUGAAGAAGGCCUUAUGGUUGUAAAGCACUUUAAGCGAGGAGGAGGCUACUGAGACUAAUACUCUUGGAUAGUGGACGUUACUCGCAGAAUAAGCACCGGCUAACUCUGUGCCAGCAGCCGCGGUAA
rnacentral:rRNA from 1 species